CAGUAUUUAGUUUAAGGAAAAUAUAGUAUUUGGGGUAUUAAGAUUUUUAUACUGA
rnacentral:tRNA from 1 species